CAUUGUCACUGGAACUCGUCACAGUGAGCCUUCCUGACAGGAGCCUCGGACACACUCCUCAUGGCACAGGUCUUGGCAACUAGAAAAGCAGCGCAUCUUCUGGAGGAAACAGGCUGGCUUCACCUCAGACCUGGGAUCCCUGGACCUGCUAGAACUGGACUCCCACAAGUGGUGCCCAAACAGGGACCUGAAGGACUACAUCCUCUGGGAGACCUGACCAACCAUGAAGCUUCCCGGAGAUAAAAUCGGAGUCCUGUUCCCGUAGCAAACAUCUGGCGGGCCCCGCGCAGGUGGGCGUGGCAGAGUCAAGACCUGAAGGGUUGGGAGUUUGCAGGCAGAUGGACCCGGAUGUGAUUCUUGUUUUGCCACUUAAUUUUCAGCUUAUGACU